rnacentral:tRNA from 1 species
GCCGGUUGCUCAGUGGUUAGAGCAUUGGGCUGCAGAACAAAGGGGUGCAGGUUCAAUUCCUGGUCAAUGGCA